rnacentral:lncRNA from 1 species
AUGGAGUCGUUUUGGCAAUUCAAUGGCUUGGCUUCCAACUUUGUAUACCAUCCAACCAAAAUUCGAUUUGAACCAACUCAUAUUGUAAUUUGUUACAAGAGACCUGAUGAGAGAAGAAAUUUUGAUACAGUAAAUGGUAAAGUAAAUUCUCUCAACAAUUUGAACUCAAAGGAUUCUCAUUUAAUGGGUUCCAUGAUGGGUGGGACUAUCUCAAAUUAAACUUGGUCUGGUAUAUAUCCUAGAGAUUGGGGGAUUUAUAGAUAGCUUGUAAAUCACAACAAUAGUAAUAUUCCCCCUUCAACACCAAUAUGGGAUAUAUGCUAGCGAUUAGAUUACAAAAAUAUAACAGUUGAACUUUAGAUAAACAUGAAAAUCCGAGAACUUGUAGCCCAAAAUCAUAUCCCCUAUUGGAUUUCAUUGAACAUGCAAAGGGAGAUUCUCACUAUAGUUAUCUUAAUUGGUGCAAUAAGAUAUUUUCCAAGCAUCUUAUUUACUAUGAUGGCUUCAAGUUAAGAGAAUAUUACAGAGGGAGUUGCGGAAGGAACAGAGCUGCACAGGGAGUAUGGGUUAUGAAGUCGUAGAGGAAGAGAGUGAAUUAGAUUGUUGGGAAAUAGACAUGAAAUCAAAUUAAAAAAGAGAGAUAAUCGAAAAAAUAAUUAAGAAUGAGAGAGAGAGAGAGAGAGAGAGAGAGAUAGAGAGAGGAGUUUUAGAAGUUUGUGUCAUGGAGGGCAGUGGAUUAUUGUUUUACCUAUUACAUGAACAUGGGACAACUGUUAUCCCCACAGUAUCUAGCACUGAUCUAGCCCUAGAUUAUUUAUUUAUUUAUUGCUUUAGAUGCUAGCCUUGCCUUUUUUCUAUGUUACUUAUCUGAUUUUUUGUGCUUUAGGAUGAUCUUGAUAGUCCUCCUUGCUAUCCUGAAAUAGAAGAGAUUCCUGAACCAGAAGAGUUGUCCUUUUUUCAGUGGCUUUCUCCUCCAUCUUCUCCACUACGUUGGGAGUCCCCGCCAUUCUCUCCUUUAGCAUUGCCACUUGAGGUGGUUGAAUUUGUGUUGAGGGAAGGAAAUGAUUGA